GGAGAGGUGGCUGAGUGGUCGAAAGCGAUAGAUUGCUAAUCUGUUGUACAAACUUUUUGUACCGAGGGUUCGAAUCCCUCUCUCUCCU
rnacentral:tRNA from 1 species